GGUCAACAUUUAAAUGGUGUCCGAGCCCCAUCAAGCAGCCAACUAAAAACCAACAUCUUACAAAGCAGCAGGGAAGUUGAUCAUCACUGAGGCCUUCACUGGCCUCUCACCUCUCCACACAGGCAGUCAAGGCCCUGGGAUCAGUGCGGCCGUGCUCGGAUUACCUCUUUGCUUUGGACUGAAGUGCCGUCCUGCCGCUGCUGACACCAGACCCCUUGUCUGGCCCUGCAACACUGUCGAGCCUCAUUAUACGUCAGCUCUUGACCCUCACAAGACUGCGAAUUAACCGGCGCUGACAGACGACUGUCACCAGCAGCCAGACAGGUCACUGCUGCUAAUGCAGUACCAAAGAGCAAAGAGGGGAAGAUGACAGCCAUCUAUGGCGUGUUUAUGGUGCAAAGGCUCAUCAGGCAUCAUGAUAGAGCCGUGAAAAGGCACAGGGACAAAGAGGAAUAAUGCAGCGAGUGGAUAGAGAGAAAGGGUCAGAGUAGGGCUGAGGAGGAAGCAGACACAGAUAUUCAAGAGGAGCACAUUGACCGCUUGAAAGACGGCUAUCUGUGUGAUUGAUAGGGCACGUCAGCUUUUCUCAAAUAUUGACAUUUUUGAAAAAUUGUCAUGUCAGAGGUAAGGUUUAGCUUAGAGUAUACUCAGCCCACACACAAUCCAGGGAAUACCACUUGAAAACAAAGAGAAAAAUCCAUCCACUCGCAGUGUGAAAUUCUAAUAAUUGCCCUUGCCUUCUUGUUGAAUGGUAUGAAAUCUGUCACAGCGCAUGAACCGUAAUCAUAAAUCCAAUGCAACUACUGUGCAAAUGGCCGGGGACAUUACAGAUAACUGCAUUCUGCACGGGCUCAACGCUGUGACAAUGAAGCAAUACCUCGCUGAUACCAGGACUUCUCCACAAUAGCCUGUAGUAUGUGUUGCAGCACUUCACAGCCUCAGCGAGCCAAGAGGCUUCGAGUCGGCAGAAUCCCAAACAUCAUGACAACAAGCCAUCAGUCAUCUUCCCCCCAAGCUGCUGCGCACACUUGUGUGUUUCCGGAGUUCUUACUGUGGGAAAUGAACAGGGUUAAACAUGAAACAGGAGGAAAUGUUCAUCACUGCAGCACACUCUGUAAUAUUCUCUCUCGUACAGCAUUGUUUUCGCUGCAGGGAAAGAGAAGGAGUUGUUUUUAAUUUUUUUUUCUGCUUAAACAUCCCCUGCUUGUUCACAACGCAGAUCAGUCGUCUACUGUGCAUGCUAAUCACGGUUAAUAGCAAAAUGCUGAUAGAAAAAUGACACUGUGUUAAUAAGGCACUAAUCUUCUGCUUAUGUUCAAGAAGGAUUAUUCCUGUAGUCAAAGCAAGAAAAAUGUCAGCCGUGAAGAAGUUUGAAACUCAAAAACUCAGAUAAAUGAGGAGCUGAGUAUUUACUAGAUCCAAAUAUUGGUUAAUGAAUGUCUCUUAUUUCCUAUUGAGUAUCUUUUAGGUGAUUAAAAUCAUCUUAUUUUGCACAA